GACGGAGGAUGCAAGUGUUAUCCGGAAUCACUGGGCGUAAAGCGUCUGUAGGUGGUUCGAAAAGUCCACUGUUAAAAAUUGAAGCUUAACUUCAAAGAUGCCGUGGAAACUUUCAAACUAGAGUAUGGUAGGGGUAGAGGGAAUUUCCAGUGGAGCGGUGAAAUGCGUAGAUAUUGGAAAGACCACCGAUGGCGAAGGCACUCUACUGGGCCAUUACUGACACUGAGAGACGAAAGCUAGGGGAGCAAAUGGG
rnacentral:rRNA from 1 species